rnacentral:rRNA from 1 species
UGGCGAGCGGGUGAGUAACGCGUGAGGAACCUGCCUCAAAGAGGGGGACAACAGUCGGAAACGACUGCUAAUACCGCAUAAGCCCACGACCCGGCAUCGGGAAGAGGGAAAAGGAGCAAUCCGCUUUGAGAUGGCCUCGCGUCCGAUUAGCUAGUUGGUGAGGUAACGGCCCACCAAGGCGACGAUCGGUAGCCGGACUGAGAGGUUGAACGGCCACAUUGGGACUGAGACACGGCCCAG